rnacentral:rRNA from 1 species
GACGAACGCUGGCGGCGUGCUUAACACAUGCAAGUCGAACGGAAAGGCCCUGCUUUUGUGGGGUGCUCGAGUGGCGAACGGGUGAGUAACACGUGAGUAACCUGCCCUUGACUUUGGGAUAACUUCAGGAAACUGGGGCUAAUACCGGAUAGGAGCUCCUGCUGCAUGGUGGGGGUUGGAAAGUUUCGGCGGUUGGGGAUGGACUCGCGGCUUAUCAGCUUGUUGGUGGGGUAGUGGCUUACCAAGGCUUUGACGGGUAGCCGGCCUGAGAGGGUGACCGGCCACAUUGGGACUGAGAUACGGCCCAGACUCCUACGGGAGGCAGCAGUGGGGAAUAUUGCACAAUGGGCGGAAGCCUGAUGCAGCAACGCCGCGUGCGGGAUGACGGCCUUCGGGUGGUAAACCGCUUUCGCCUGUGACGAAGCGUGAGGACGGUAAUGGGUAAAGAAGCACCGGCUAACUACGUG